rnacentral:tRNA from 1 species
GCGCUCGUAGCUCAGUGGAUAGAGCGCCGGACUACGAAUCCGUAGGCCGCAAGUUCGAAUCUUGCCGGGCGCACCA